rnacentral:rRNA from 1 species
AGAGUUUGAUCAUGGCUCAGAACGAACGCUGGCGGCGUGCCUAACACAUGCAAGUCGAACGAGAAAGGGGCUUCGGCUCCGAGUAAAGUGGCGCACGGGUGAGUAACACGUGGGUAACCUGCCUCUAAGAUUGGGACAACUCGUCGAAAGAUGAGCUAAUACCGAAUAAGACCACAGUUCCUGCGGGAACAGCGGUCAAAGGUAGCCUCUGCUUGCAAGCUAUCACUUAGAGAUGGGCCUGCGCACCAUUAGCUAGUUGGUAGGGUAACGGCCUACCAAGGCAAAGAUGGUUAGCUGGUCUGAGAGGAUGAUCAGCCACACUGGAACUGAGACACGGUCCAGACUCCUACGGGAGGCAGCAGUGGGGAAUAUUGCGCAAUGGGCGAAAGCUUGACGCAGCAACGCCGCGUGAGUGAUGAAGGCCUUCGGGUCGUAAAGCUCUGUCGGGAGGAACGAAUGCUCCUGAGGUUAACAGCCUCGGGAGGUGACCGGUACCUUCAAAGGAAGCACCGGCUAACUCUGUGCCAGCAGCCGCGGUA